rnacentral:rRNA from 1 species
AUGCGAUAAUUAAUGUGAAUUGCAGAAUUCAGUGAAUCAUCGAGUCUUUGAACGCACAUUGCGCCCCAUGGCAUUCCGUGGGGCAUGCCCGUCUCAGAGUUAGUAAAACCAUCUCAGGCUGCAGCUUUUGUUGCUCUGUCUGGAUUAUAUCAAAGAAGUAGAGUUAAGUCUACUCUUUGCAAAGAAAUAGAUACCUUGAAAACUUGCUUGAGGCCAACGUAAUAAGAAAAUCCGGUGGUCAAAAGUUUCUUGAGGUUUUUUAUUUUUGGCAAGCCAAAAUUUUUUAUUAGGAAUUUAACCUGAGAUCGGGUAGGGAUACCCGCUGAACUUAA